AAAGCGCCAUAUUCAAAACACGAAUGCUGAAACUAAGAAGAGAAGGUACGACCCAAAAUGUGAUUUCAAUGAGUUAUUGUCGUUAUUGAUGAGUUUUUAAUAGCACUUUUCUUUCUUGAAAUAAAGGAGGGUAAUUUAAAGGAUGUCUUCAUGAAGGGGAUCAGAUGAAGCGUGUCAGCAAUGAAAGUGUGAAUAUUAUGGUUUCAAAUGAAGACGUUCAUACAUAACAAACGAGGGAUGACUUUGAAAGGACGCAAAGGCAGUUCAAGGCACAGCGGGGACAAGAUUGUACGACAUAUUUAUGUCACAUGAGAUGAACAUAUCCCCUGUGUGAACGGACCUCUGAUCAUCUCUUUGGUGCUGCCUACUUCAGACAAAAGGAAGCAAUCUGUGUAAGCAUACAAUGCUAUUCAUGAAAGCAAAACCCUACAAGGUUCAUCUGGCAGAAAUGGCAAAACAGGAUGGAGCUAGAUUAUAAAGAAGUUGUCAUGAUGGAGAAUUUCAGCUCAAUAAACCUGGGUCAAAGAUCAAGAAACUGUCCAGAAAUAUGCCACCAUCACGAGUGUCAUGUCACUGAGUGGAGACACCCCCUUUCUGGUUCUAACCAUUUUCCAAUCAGAGGUGAGAGAGAUAGUCUACCAGAGAUAAGGACAUGACACCAAUCUUCAAGACUUCAUCUACACGGAUGUCUGGCGUGAAGGUCUUUGCUGAAGUAUGGUCAACAUAAAAAUGGAUUUGACACCAAACACUUCAUAUACUCCCAUCAUCUUGUGUUAAUGAGGUUCCUAGUAGUCACGAUAGAGAUAGUUUACAGGGAUUUUCUCUUGACACCAGUCAUUAUCUACACUCUGUCUGAUAUUAGCCCUAUUUUAACUGGGCUUUUUAAGAUAAAGUUUUUACUGAUAUAGAGUAAGGAUGAUGUUUGGUGUUACAUGUAAGUGUAAAGUUAUAUGGAUUAAUAUUCCCAAGAAUGUCAAGAAUAUGGUUAAAACUCAGUUGGUGGGGGGAGGGGGUCAUCAGACUGCAUGAACCAAAUGUUAGUUCAAAUUUGAUGUAAAUUAUUGAAAAUAUU